AGUGAACGCUGGCGGUAGGCCUAACACAUGCAAGUCGAACGGCAGCACAGUAAGAGCUUGCUCUUACGGGUGGCGAGUGGCGGACGGGUGAGGAAUACAUCGGAAUCUACUUUUUCGUGGGGGAUAACGUAGGGAAGCUUACGCUAAUACCGCAUACGACCUACGGGUGAAAGCAGGAGAUCUUCGGACCUUGCGCGAUUGAAUUAGCCGAUGUCGGAUUAGCUAGUUGGCGGGGUAAAGGCCCACCAAGGCGACGAUCCGUAGCUGGUCUGAGAGGAUGAUCAGCCACACUGGAACUGAGACACGGUCCAGACUCCUACGGGAGGCAGCAGUGGGGAAUAUUGGACAAUGGGCGCAAGCCUGAUCCAGCCAUACCGCGUGGGUGAAGAAGGCCUUCGGGUUGUAAAGCCCUUUUGUUGGGAAAGAAAAGCAGCAGGUGAAUACCCCGCUGUUCUGACGGUACCCAAAGAAUAAGCACCGGCUAACUUCGUG
rnacentral:rRNA from 1 species